rnacentral:rRNA from 1 species
GACGAACGCUGGCGGCGUGCUUAACACAUGCAAGUCGAGCGGUAAGGCCCUUUCGGGGGUACACGAGCGGCGAACGGGUGAGUAACACGUGGGUGACCUGCCCUUAGCUCUGGGAUAAGCCUGGGAAACUGGGUCUAAUACCGGAUAUGACUCCAUGACGCAUGUUGUGGGGUGGAAAGCCUUGUGCGGCUAGGGAUGGGCCCGCGGCCUAUCAGCUUGUUGGUGGGGUGAUGGCCUACCAAGGCGACGACGGGUAGCCGGCCUGAGAGGGCGACCGGCCACACUGGGACUGAGACACGGCCCAGACUCCUACGGGAGGCAGCAGUGGGGAAUCUUGCGCAAUGGGCGAAAGCCUGACGCAGCGACGCCGCGUGAGGAU